rnacentral:rRNA from 1 species
AUUGAACGCUGGCGGCAGGCCUAACACAUGCAAGUCGAGCGGAGCGGCGGACGGGUGCGUAAUGCCUAGGAAUCUGCAUGGUAGUGGGGGAUAACGUCCGGUAAUGGGAGCUAAUACCGCAUCCUCUCAGAUGAGCAUAGGUCGGAUUAGCAAGUUGGUGGGGUAAAGGCGUACCAAGGCGACGAUCCGGAGCUGGUCUGAGAGGAUGAUCAGUCACACUGGAACUGAGACACGGUCCAGACGCCUACGUGAGGCAGCAGUGGGGAAUAUUGGACAAUGGGCGCAAGCCUGAUCCAGCCAUGCCGCGUGUGUGAAGAAGGCCUUCGGAUUGUAAAGCACUUUAAGUUGGGAGGCGUUACCAACAGAAUAAGCACCGGCUAACUCCGUGCCAGCAGCCGCGGUAAUAC